GGGGUGUUGCGGUUUGCGAUGUUCCUUUUUUACGGCACUAUUGCACCAGCUAAGAUUGAUACUUGAGAGCACAGAAGAGCCCUAAAGAAAGAUCAAUCUACGUUUAAGGCCCUCGAAGAGAUUAUUUGAAUUAUGGUUGCCUUUGCCAACUCCAGUAGAAAAACCAGGUGCCAUACACUUGCUUACUUUGCGAUAUAAGAAGAAAAUAUUAUUGAGGAUUUUAAAGCAUAAAGGAAAUGUUAUGGAGUUUUGGUAAUUUUGUAUCACUUUUACCGUCAGAGGUGUGUUUCUUAUGUAUGUCAAGGUUACGUUUUAGUGUUGUGAGUUGAGUGUUAUUUGAGUAUCAUAAUAAAGUAUGUGAUUGAAUUUAGUGUCACGAGUCCAGUAACACCAAUUUAAUCGAAC
rnacentral:lncRNA from 1 species